rnacentral:lncRNA from 1 species
AUAAAACGACAUAGUAUCCUCAAGUAAGUCAUCAUUUUAUUACUACGAGAGAUUGGAAUCAAGUUAAUCAAACUACAACAAUGUUCGCAAAUGAUAAUCUUUUUAUAGAACCGACAGAAUACUAGAAAUGACGAUAGUUUAGAAAAACAAUUAACAGUCGUCUCGCUUUUUCCAGGUUAUACUUUAUACGUAUACACCAAUAAUUUCUCGAGUUGCAAAGUUAUUAAACUUAAGUAGGAUCAUGAACUUAAAAUUUGCAAGUGACUUUAAAGCAUAAGACUGGCUAACAUGAAGAACAAGCAGCCAAACAAAGUUCACCACAAAGUUGAGCACAACAAUUUCCAAAGCAUUCACACAAGGAGCUUAACCAAGAGCAACCAUCAUCGGCACAACAACAACAUUCGCAGCAGCAAGCAGUGACACAUGCGCCAACCGACUCGCCUAUACAAAUGUCACAACUGCAAAUGUAUAUUUUUUUUAAAAAAAAAAAAACUAAAAGGAAGCUUAGUGAAAAUAAUUAGAUGAAAAAUAAAUACCAAUAAAUUCUUGAGUUGACGUGUUCAGUUUUUUCAACUGACAUUUGUUGCAUAACUGGCGCCGCCAUUGUUUUGUUCAAAGUGUCAAAUUCGUGAAUUCAGAGCCAGAGCCAGACUCUAAAAUCUUGAUUCUAAAAUAUCAAAACUUAAAAGUGAAUAAUAUAGUAAUAAAUAAAUUUACAUAAUUAUAAAGUUAGAUGUUAAUUUUUGAUAUAUUAUUCUCUAUUCUACAAUAAGGUCUUAUUUGUCAAUGUUUUUGUUUCAAAUCGACACUGGCUGAUCUAUUUAAAGGGCAGAAUAGGCACUGCUUAUGUUGAACUUUUUUUUAUAUAUGUAUAGGAAUAAGAGCAAAAAUAAAAUUUAAUAAACUUAAAGGGACAGAUUUAUAAAAAAAUUAAAUUUAAAGAGGCAAAAAAAAACUUAAACUACUACUAUAAAAAAAAAUCAACUAUAAUGUAUUCAAACUCUCCCUCUCUAAUUCGCUAAUCUUCUGCUUGUAAUCUUCUGCUUUCCUCUGCCGGAAAUAGAUCCUAUAUCCGCCCGUGCAAAUCGAGUCAUAUUUUUGAUUUUUUGCUGAUAAUAAUAUGAAAUGACAUAAUAACCAAAAGUUUGUCAAUAUUAUUUUAAUUAUCAGGUAAUCAUUACUAAACUGACAAAUUUUGUUUUUAAGCCUAAACAUAGAACAAAAAUAUACACUAUAUAUAUAAAUUGUAUAAAUGAGACUGCUUUUGCAAAACGAAAAACUAUUUAUUAAAACUUGAGAGUAUAAUAUAACCUCUAAAAGACGAUGUGAAUCUUAACUGGAGCAAAGUAACAAAGUUGCUCUGUCUCGGUUAGUAGGAAGCCUAAAAAUCACCACUGCUGCCGCCGGAGCGGAGAGAACUCGCCGGAAUCUGACUUGAAACGCCGGAAACUGACUAUAACGUACGCCAGAAUCUUACCCUAAACUUGACCUUUUCUUUUCUUUCCGAUUACCCAAAUCGGAAUUUCAUCCACAUAGUCCUUAUCUUUCAUCUUCAAUCCCAUUUUCCCAUCUUUUCUUACUGAACUUUAGCAUAUAUGAACUACUUUAUUGGAUUUAAUUGAAUUUCAUUUGGGAGUAGCAGACUCGUGUAGUGAUAAAGAUGAGUAUAAU